AUCGAACGCUAGCGGCAUGCUUUACACAUGCAAGUCGAACGAGUGGAGGACGGGUGAGUAAUAUAUCGGAACGUGCCCAGUAGCGGGGGAUAACUGCUCGAAAGAGUGGAUAAUACUGCAUCCUAUUGGUGCGGCUGUUAUCGGAUUAUCUAGUUGGUGGGGUAAAGGCCCACCAAGGCAACGAUCCGUAGCUGUUCUGAGAGGACGAACUGCCACACUGGGACUGAGACAAGGCCCAGACUCCUACGGGAGGCAGCAGUGGGGAAUUUUGGGCAAUGGGGGAAACCCUGAUCCAGCCAUCCCGAGUGUGUGAGAAGGCCUUCGGGUUGAAAAGUACUUUUGGCAGAGAAGCGGUAUCUGCAGAUUAAGCACCGGCUAACUACGUGCCAGCAGCCGCGGUAAUUC
rnacentral:rRNA from 1 species